rnacentral:rRNA from 1 species
ACGCUCGACACCUACGUGAGGCAGCAGUGGGGAAUAUUGCACAAUGGGGGAAACCCUGAUGCAGCGACGCCGCGUGAGCGAAGAAGUAUUUCGGUAUGUAAAGCUCUAUCAGCAGGGAAGAAACUGACGGUACCUGACUAAGAAGCACCGGCUAAAUACGUGCCAGCAGCCGCGGUAAUCUGAGCGGGCUGGCAAGGC